rnacentral:rRNA from 1 species
GAUGAACGCUGGCGGCGUGCCUAAUACAUGCAAGUCGAGCGAACAGAUAAGGAGCUUGCUCCUUUGACGUUAGCGGCGGACGGGCGAGUAACACGUGGAUAACCUACCUAUAAGACUGGGAUAACUUCGGGAAACCGGAGCUAAUACCGGAUAACAUAUUGAACCGCAUGGUUCAAUAGUGAAAGGCGGCUUUGCUGUCACUUAUAGAUGGAUCCGUGCCGUAUUAGCUAGUUGGUAAGGUAACGGCUUACCAAGGCAACGAUACGUAGCCGACCUGAGAGGGUGAUCGGCCACACUGGAACUGAGACACGGUCCAGACUCCUACGGGAGGCAGCAGUAGGGAAUCUUCCGCAAUGGGCGAAAGCCUGACGGAGCAACGCCGCGUGAGUGAUGAAGGUCUUCGGAUCGUAAAACUCUGUUAUCAGGGAAGAACAAAUGUGUAAGUAACUGUGCACAUCUUGACGGUACCUGAUCAGAAAGCCACGGCUAACUACGUG